UCCAUCGUGAGGUGGAAUCUGAAAGAAGCUGUCGACAAACACUUGGUUUGACGAACAGAAACUUUAUAUAAGGCAUAAGAUUGUGGAUAAGACUGCUACACAAGUUAAGGUCCCAUAGCUAUUCGGAACAGUGCCGAAAGCGGAGCAUAUCCACCCACUCAAAGCGGUUCUAUU
rfam:Bacteroides sp. CAG:714 genomic scaffold, scf92